UACGAAGGGGGCUAGCGUUGUUCGGAAUUACUGGGCGUAAAGCGCGCGCAGGCGGCUAUCCAAGUCAGUGGUGAAAGCCCGGAGCUCAACUCCGGAACUGCCAUUGAAACUGUUUAGCUUGAGGACGAGAGAGGAUAGCGGAAUUCCCAGUGUAGAGGUGAAAUUCGUAGAUAUUGGGAAGAACACCGGUGGCGAAGGCGGCUAUCUGGACCGACAUUGACGCUGAUGCGCGAAAGCGUGGGGAGCAAACAGG
rnacentral:rRNA from 1 species